rnacentral:tRNA from 1 species
GAUGGCUGAAUUUAGGCGAUAAAUUGUAAAUUUAUUUAUGACUACCUGUCUCA